rnacentral:lncRNA from 1 species
AGGGAUAGGAGGAGGAGAUGAAUGGAGGGGAGAGAGAAGAAUGAGCAGCAUGGAGUGAUACUCAACAAGGGUAACAGGGUAACAGAGAAGGAGAAAGUGGAGAGGAGAGGAUGGAGGUUGGAGAAGAAGAGGGUGGAGGUUGGAGGAGGAGAGGGUGGAGGUUGGAGGAGGAGAGGAUGGAGGUUGGAGGGGGAACGAGUUAAGGUUGGAGGAGGAGAGGAUGGAGGUAGGAGGAGGAGAGGAUGGAGGUAGGAGGAGGAGAGGAUGGAGGUUGGAGGGAGAGCGAGUUAAGGUUGGAGGAGGAGAGGAUGGGGUAGGAGGAGGAGAGGAUGGAGGUUGGAGGAGGAGAGGAUGGAGGUUGGAGGAGGAGAGGAUUAAGGUAGGAGGAGGAGAGGAUGGAGGUAGGAGGGAGAGCGAGUUAAGGUUGGAGGAGGAGAGGAUGGAGGUUGGAGGAGGAGAGGAUGGAAGUUGGAGGAGGAGAGGAUGGAGGUUGGAGGGAGAGCGAGUUAAGGUUGGAGGAGGAAAGGAUGGAGGUUGGAGGAGGAGAGGAUGGAAGUUGGAGGAGGAGAGGAUGGAGGUUGGAGGAGGAGAGGAUGGAGGUUGGAGGAGGAGAGGAUGGAGGUUGGAGGGAGAGCGAGUUAAGGUUGGAGGAGGAGAGGAUGGAGGUUGGAGGAGGAGAGGAUGGAAGUUGGAGGAGGAGAGGAUGGAGGUUGGAGGAGGAGAGGGUGGAGGUUGGAGGAGGAGAGGAUGGAGGUUGGAGGAGGAGAGGUUGGCGGGAGGAGGAGGAGAGGAUGGAGGUUGGAGGAGGAGAGGAUGGAGGUUGGAGGUUGGAGGAGGAGAGGAUGGAGGUUGGAGGAGGAGAGGAUGGAGGUUGGAGGAGGAGAGGAUGGAGGUUGGAGGGAGAGCGAGUUAAGGUUGGAGGAGGAGAGGAUGGCGGUAGGAGGAGGAGAGGAUGGAGGUUGGAGGAGGAGAGGAUGGAGGUUGGAGGAGGAGAGGAUGGAGGUUGGAGGAGGAGAGGAUGGAGGUUGGAGGGAGAGCGAGUUAAGGAACUCUUAUAAAAAAGGGAAGAAGGGGUCACAGGGAUGUUAUCUGACUUCAUGAAGGAAAUCCUCCCUGGGCACUCCAGAAAAGAGGAGAUUGCUCUUAUUGGUAGAAAGUAGACCCCCUCCACACAAGCACCAUACAACCACAGCCAGCCAGCCAUCCAGCCAGUUAGCCAGCCAACCAGCCAGUCAGUCAACCAGCCAGUCAGCCAGCCAUCCAUCCAGCCAGUUAGCCAGCCAACCAGCCAGUCAGUCAACCAGCCAGUCAGCCAUCCAGCCAGUCAGCCAGCCAGCCAGCCAUCCAGCCAGCCAUCCAUCCAUCCAGCCAGUCAGCCAGCCAACCAGCCAGUCAGCCAACCAGCCAGUUAGCCAUCCAGCCAGCCAGCCAUCCAGCCAGUCAGCCAGCCAGUCAGCCAGCCAGCCAACCAGCCAGUCAGCCAACCAGCCAGCCAGCCAGC